UUGGCUGAAAAGAUGUUGCGCAUUUAAGUCUAAGCUAUUCUUAGAAGCAGGUUUGAGCAGUGGGACUGAUUGCAUUAAAUAAUUAUUCAAGGUGCCCAUUUUCCAUUACGGGUUGAAGACCAUACCUCUAACAAGAACGGUAGGCUUAAGGGUUGGCACGCAAAGUUACUAUUGAAUGCGAUGGUGUUCAUUUGGAGGAAUAUGAUGGUCAAGGUUGUUGAAUGCUGGAGAAAAAUCUUACUAAACAUAAGGGGGAACAUAAGGCCCAUAAGCAUCCUCAUUUUGUUGGAAAUCAUCAGAGAAUUAUCAUAUUCUACUGCAGAUUGUGCAACUGAUUCAUCUGCUUUUUGAUAGCCUAAGUCUGUUUCUGCAAAUAAGUCUGUUUCUGAAACCUCAGUCUCUUCUCCAACUUCAAUUUCUUUGUUCCUUUUGCUUUCCGCCUUCGACUAAAAAAAAUAAAAAUCCAGUAGGAAAUAAAAGGAAAACAUGCUUUCUAUAAUUUAUUCAAAUGAAGGCUGAUUGAUACC
rnacentral:lncRNA from 1 species